ACGAACGCUGGCGGCGUGCCUAAUACAUGCAAGUCGAACGCUUCUUUUUCCAUCGGAGCUUGCUCCACCGGAAAAAGAGGAGUGGCGAACGGGUGAGUAACACGUGGGUAACCUGCCCAUCAGAAGGGGAUAACACUUGGAAACAGGUGCUAAUACCGUAUAACAAUCGAAACCGCAUGGUUUUGAUUUGAAAGGCGCUUUCGGGUGUCGCUGAUGGAUGGACCCGCGGUGCAUUAGCUAGUUGGUGAGGUAACGGCUCACCAAGGCGACGAUGCAUAGCCGACCUGAGAGGGUGAUCGGCCACAUUGGGACUGAGACACGGCCCAAACUCCUACGGGAGGCAGCAGUAGGGAAUCUUCGGCAAUGGACGAAAGUCUGACCGAGCAACGCCGCGUGAGUGAAGAAGGUUUUCGGAUCGUAAAACUCUGUUGUUAGAGAAGAACAAGGAUGAGAGUAACUGUUCAUCCCUUGACGGUAUCUAACCAGAAAGCCACGGCUAACUACGUGCCAGCAGCCGCGGUAAUACGUAGGUGGCAAGCGUUGUCCGGAUUUAUUGGGCGUAAAGCGAGCGCAGGCGGUUUCUUAAGUCUGAUGUGAAAGCCCCCGGCUCAACCGGGGAGGGUCAUUGGAAACUGGGAGACUUGAGUGCAGAAGAGGAGAGUGGAAUUCCAUGUGUAGCGGUGAAAUGCGUAGAUAUAUGGAGGAACACCAGUGGCGAAGGCGGCUCUCUGGUCUGUAACUGACGCUGAGGCUCGAAAGCGUGGGGAGCAAACAGGAUUAGAUACCCUGGUAGUCCACGCCGUAAACGAUGAGUGCUAAGUGUUGGAGGGUUUCCGCCCUUCAGUGCUGCAGCUAACGCAUUAAGCACUCCGCCUGGGGAGUACGACCGCAAGGUUGAAACUCAAAGGAAUUGACGGGGGCCCGCACAAGCGGUGGAGCAUGUGGUUUAAUUCGAAGCAACGCGAAGAACCUUACCAAGUCUUGACAUCCCUCUGACCGUUCCUUAACCGGAACUUUCCUUCGGGACAGGGGAGACAGGUGGUGCAUGGUUGUCGUCAGCUCGUGUCGUGAGAUGUUGGGUUAAGUCCCGCAACGAGCGCAACCCUUAUUGUUAGUUGCCAUCAUUUAGUUGGGCACUCUAGCAAGACUGCCGGUGACAAACCGGAGGAAGGUGGGGAUGACGUCAAAUCAUCAUGCCCCUUAUGACCUGGGCUACACACGUGCUACAAUGGGAAGUACAACGAGUCGCAAAGUCGCGAGGCUAAGCUAAUCUCUUAAAGCUUCUCUCAGUUCGGAUUGUAGGCUGCAACUCGCCUACAUGAAGCCGGAAUCGCUAGUAAUCGCGGAUCAGCACGCCGCGGUGAAUACGUUCCCGGGCCUUGUACACACCGCCCGUCACACCACGAGAGUUUGUAACACCCGAAGUCGGUGAGGUAACCUUUUGGAGCCAGCCGCCUAAGGUGGGAUAGAUGAUUGGGGUG
rnacentral:rRNA from 1 species